UACAGAGGGUGCGAGCGUUGAUCGGAAUUACUGGGCGUAAAGCGCGCGUAGACGGUUUUGUAAGUCAGAUGUGAAAUCCCUGGGCUCAACCUGGGAACUGCAUUUGAGACUGCAUGGCUAGAGUAUCGAAGAGGGAAGUGGAAUUUCCGGUGUAGCGGUGAAAUGCGUAGAUAUCGGAAGGAACACCAGUGGCGAAAGCGACUUCCUGGUCGAAUACUGACGUUCAUGUGCGAAAGCGUGGGGAGCAAACAGG
rnacentral:rRNA from 1 species